rnacentral:rRNA from 1 species
CCUACGGGAGGCAGCAGUGGGGGAUAUUGCACAAUGGGGGGAACCCUGAUGCAGCGACGCCGCGUGGGUGAAGAAGCGCCUCGGCGCGUAAAGCCCUGUCAGCAGGGAAGAAAAUGACGGUACCCGAAGAAGAAGCCCCGGCUAACUACGUGCCAGCAGCCGCGGUAAUACGUAGGGGGCAAGCGUUAUCCGGAUUUACUGGGUGUAAAGGGGGCGCAGACGGCGAUGCAAGCCAGGAGUGAAAGCCCGGGGCCCAACCCCGGUACUGCUCUUGGAACUGCGUGGCUGGAGUGCGGGAGGGGCAGGCGGAAUGCCUGGUGUAGCGGUGAAAUGCGUAGAUAUCAGGAGGAACACCGGUGGCGAAGGCGGCCUGCUGGACUGCAACUGACGUUGAGGCCCGAAAGCGUGGGGAGCAAACAGGAUUAGAUACCCCUGUAGUC